AUUGAACGCUGGCGGCAUGCUUUACACAUGCAAGUCGGACGGCAGCACAGAGAAGCUUGCUUCUUGGGUGGCGAGUGGCGAACGGGUGAGUAAUAUAUCGGAACGUACCGAGCAGUGGGGGAUAACUAAUCGAAAGAUUAGCUAAUACCGCAUAUAUUCUGAGGAAGAAAGCAGGGGACCAUUUGGCCUUGCGCUGUCUGAGCGGCCGAUAUCUGAUUAGCUAGUUGGUGGGGUAAAGGCCUACCAAGGCGACGAUCAGUAGCGGGUCUGAGAGGAUGAUCCGCCACACUGGGACUGAGACACGGCCCAGACUCCUACGGGAGGCAGCAGUGGGGAAUUUUGGACAAUGGGCGCAAGCCUGAUCCAGCCAUGCCGCGUGUCUGAAGAAGGCUUUCGGGUUGUAAAGGACUUUUGUCAGGGAAGAAAAGGGCGGGGUUAAUACCCCUGUCUGAUGACG
rnacentral:rRNA from 1 species